UACGUAGGUGGCAAGCGUUGUCCGGAUUUACUGGGCGUAAAGCGAACGCAGGCGGACCUUUAAGUAGGAAGUGAAAGGUUGGAGCUCAACUCUAACACUGCUCCCUAUACUGGAGGUCUUGAGUGCCGGAGAGGAAGACGGAACAAGGUGUGUAGCGGUGAAAUGCGUUGAUAUAACUUGGAACACCAAUGGCGAAAGCAGUCUUCUGGACGGAUACUGACGCUCAGGUUCGAAAGCCAAGGUAGCAAACAGG
rnacentral:rRNA from 1 species